GGGCUAGGGAUAGGAGGCGGUGGGCUUGGGAUGUCGGCCGCGGAGGCGGCGCUGGCGCUGGAGGAGCGGGAGAUGCCGCCGUGCCCGCCCGGGCUUCGCCAGUACGAGACCAUGGUCGUGCUCCGCCCCGACAUGUCCGAGGAGGAGCGCCUCGCCCUCAUACAGCGUUACGAGGAGCUCCUUGUUGCGGGUGGCGCCAUGUAUGUGGAAGUCUUCAACCGA
rnacentral:misc_RNA from 1 species